rnacentral:rRNA from 1 species
UACAGAGGUGGCAAGCGUUGUUCGGAAUUACUGGGCGUAAAGGGCGCGUAGGCGGCCCACUAAGUCAGACGUGAAAUCCCCUGGCUUAACCUGGGAACUGCGUCUGAUACUGGAGGGCUUGAGUAUGGGAGAGGGAUGUAGAAUUCCAGGUGUAGCGGUGAAAUGCGUAGAUAUCUGGAGGAAUACCGGUGGCGAAGGCGGCAUCCUGGACCAUUACUGACGCUGAGGCGCGAAAGCUAGGGGAGCAAACGGG